GAGCACGUAGGUGGGUUUGUAAGUCAGAUGUGAAAGCCUUCUGUUCAACGGAAGAAUUGCAUCUGAAACUGCGAGUCUUGAGUGUAGGAGGGGAGAGUGGAACUUCUGGUGGAGCGGUGAAAUGCGUAGAUAUCAGAAGGAACUCCGGCGGCGAAAGCGAUUCUCUGGCCUAUUACUGACACUCAGUGUGCGAAAGCUAGGGGAGCAAACGGGAUUAGAUACCCCGGUAGUCCUAGCCGUAAACGAUGGGCACUAAGUAGAGGGGUUUU
rnacentral:rRNA from 1 species